CUCCAGAUGAUGUUGGACUACAUCUCACAUCAUUCCUGAUCAUUGUCCAUGCUGCAGGGGCUGAUGGGAGUUGUAGUCUAACAACACAUCUGUGCUCCCCAUCUCUACUUUAUACCCUUAGCAUCUGGUGGAGAAAGCUCUAACAUGCCAGAAGGGCGGAUUCUACAUGUGUCAAUCUUCAUUGACUUGUAGGCUCAACAUCAUCCCCAUUUCCUGAUGAGUUGGUGCGUGAAGGGCUAUAAAAGGCCCUUGCUAUCUUCACUCAGCAAACCAUUUGGCUCUCCUCUACUCACCUGCAUUGGCAUAUUGUGGGGUUUCCCUAAACCAAGGCAGAGGAAAUGUCGCAGCAGCAGCAGUGCAAGCAGACGCCAUCCUGCCCACCGACCUCCUGUACACCUCCUUCAGGAUGCGUGAAGCCAUACCCACCUCAAACGUGCCCAACUGAACCUCAGUGCCCAGGAAAACCAUUCCCAGGGUCAACCGGAAGUCACGGGCAGUGCCAAUCGGGCAAAGAUGAUGGCUCUUACCACCAGCACGACAGCCGUCAGUCUAAGCAAUGCUGAGCUGUCUUAUCUGAGUCAGCCUUCCCGAAAUGA